CGCUGCUCCGCGGCCUCCCUCCCAGCACGGGAACUGUGGGCGCGUUGUGGAGACUGGCCUCCCGUGCGUCCCUUCGUGCGGAUGGCCCAAAUGUGAGCCCUCGGCGACGCACGUCACGGCCAUUGGUGGUUGAAUACUCGACUGUUAUGCUGUUGUGUCGUGCUGCGCGUACCUCGUGGGUUGAUAUCAUUGGAUGCGACUCUCAUCCAAGCAGACCCAACUGCAGCUUUGUGGGCUGCGUCC
rnacentral:misc_RNA from 2 species